CCUACGGGAGGCAGCAGUGGGGAAUAUUGGGCAAUGGGCGCAAGCCUGACCCAGCAAUGCCGCGUGAAGGAAGAAGGCUUUCGGGUUGUAAACUUCUUUGACAGGGGAAGAGCAGAAGACGGUACCCUGAAAACAAGCCAAGGCUAACUACGUGCCAGCAGCCGCGGUAAUACGUAGGUGGCAAGCGUUGUCCGGAUUUACUGGGUGUAAAGGGCGUGUAGCCGGGAAGGCAAGUCAGAUGUGAAAUCUGGAGGCUCAACCUCCAAAUUGCAUUUGAAACUGUUUUUCUUGAGUACUGGAGAGGCAGACGGAAUUCCUUGUGUAGUGGUGAAAUGCGUAGAUAUAAGGAGGAACACCAGUGGCGAAGGCGGUCUGCUGGACAGCAACUGACGGUGAGGCGCGAAAGCGUGGGGAGCAAACAGGAUUAGAUACCCUAGUAGUC
rnacentral:rRNA from 1 species